GAGUUUUAAAAGCAACCAGAUUCAUCUCUGCAGCUUUUGUAGUUUUAUACAAGCAAAGAGCUUGUCCAGCAAACCUUCCCCAUACUUCUUGUUUUUGGUCUCUUCAGCCACUUUCCUUCCUGUUCUCUGGAGAUCUUGCAGAAAGCCUGCAGUGUUUCCCUUGCUCAGCCAUGCUCCUGGUGCUCAUCCCACUGCUGGGGAUACAUUUUGUCCUGAGAACUGCCAGAGCCCAGUCAGUGACCCAGCCUGACAUCCACAUCACUGUCUCUGAAGGAGCCUCACUGGAGUUGAGAUGUAACUAUUCCUAUGGGGCGAUGGCAACACCUUAUCUCUUCUGGUAUGUCCAGUCCCCUGGCCGAGGCCUCCAGCUGCUCCUGAAGUACUUUUCAAGAGACACUCUGGUUCAAGGCAUUAAAGGCUUUGAGGCUGAAUUUAAGAGGAGUCAAUCUUCUUCAACCUGA